rnacentral:rRNA from 1 species
AUUGAACGCUGGCGGCAGGCCUAACACAUGCAAGUCGAACGAGUGGCGGACGGGUGAGUAAUGUCUGGGAAACUGCCUGAUGGAGGGGGAUAACUACUGGAAACGGUAGCUAAUACCACAUACCAUCAGAUGUGCCCAGAUGGGAUUAGCUAGUAGGUGGGGUAAAGGCUCACCUAGGCGACGAUCCCUAGCUGGUCUGAGAGGAUGACCAGCCAAACGGGAACUGAGACACGGUCUAGACUCCUACGUGUGGCAGCAGUGGGGAAUAUGGCACAAGGGGCGAAAGCCUGAUGCGGCCAUGCCGCGUGUAGGAAGAAGUCCUUGGUGUGGUAAGGUACUUUCAGCGAGGAGGCGUUACUCGCAGAAGAAGCACCGGCUAACUCCGUGCCAGCAGCCGGGGUAAGAC